CAUUAUAAGUUUAGAUUUUCAUAUGUAUAGAUUAGUUGGGCAGCAUUUUUAGGUCAUUAAAGUAACUCUGUGUAUAAGGUGUGAAAUGUUUGUUUGCAGACGUGGCGUCCGUUCUGUAACCAGUUUGAAGGGCUCAUUGAAGAUUUUAACUACGGCACUCUACUCCGUCUGGACUGUGAGAAAGAUUACACGGAGGAGAAUACUAUAUUUGCCACCAGGGUCCAGUUCUUCGCUGUUGAAAUCGCCCGCAACAGAGAAGGCUACAACAACACUGUGUUCAUGUCCAAAUCUUCAAAGAGCUAGUCACCAAAUGAACUUAUCCAACCAUGUGUAAAACCACCAGGACCGCCCCUCCAGGACACAUAAAGAUGAACU